GAAGGACUGUUGUCCAUCUCAGCUUCAGUAGGGAAGGACUCUGCCAGUCCAGGGUUUGGCUCCCAGCCAUUUCUCCUGACGAUGUUUCUGGCAUUUAUCUCCUGCCUUUCCCACUGAAAUUGCUCAAGGCCGCAUACAAAGGAGCCUCUUUUUGUAAUCUGUGCAAGGCAGAAUAGAAAUCUCUCAGUAAAUGAAUAAAUACACUUUCAGCAGACUCCCAGGGUUAGAAUCUUCUGAAUCUUCACACUUCAAGCAGUUAGGGAAGGGUCACGUUAAUGGCAUGUCACCAAAAGGUGAGCCAGCAUGUAGAAAAUUAGCAGGCUAGCAAAACAACGACUCUGUUGGAUUACAUCCAGGAGGGCUUUCUGUGUAUGUGUUGCCAUGUGCCUUGCUAAACUUAUAAAUCAGCCCUAAGUAAGAGAAGUUUAGUUCUAAGCUCCAUGGGCAAUGGUUCUUAAAUUAACCAUGGGUCUUUCGAAUGACAUUUUCGGGGCGUUAAUUUCGUAUGUCAGCAGGAAGUGCUGUAGUUCAUAUUAGUGCCUUGGGGCUCUCUCAAACUCCUCUAGUUCCUCUUCUACCAGGGGCUUAUAGGUGGACUUCAUUCCAAAUGUGUGAUGAAGCAAUAAAGUACUGUUGUGUUUGCAAAGACUGCCUCUGCCAGUCCCAAUGAGGUCCAGCCAUCCCAGUUCUUAACCAGAGUAGACCAGUCACUAGAACAGUGGCCAAUAACUUGUGGACUUCCAGAUGCUGUAUUACAUCCCUCAUCAGACCCAGCCAGCAUAAUCCAAUUGUGAGGGAUGAUGGGAGUUGUAGUCUAGCAAUAUCAAGAAGCCCCAUGCACUAGAAUUAUAUACAAUGUCAACCAAGAUAUUCCCGACUUCUGCUUAUGUGUUUUUCUAGCAAAACGGUUUGUAAAGCUUGCCAAGUAUGGGGCACAACAUCAGGUCCCCCUGAAAUUUCUGGCCCUUUAUCCCUACUUGCUCCUGAUUGGAAGCAAAGCAUGUGUCUCCUCCACAGUGCUUUUGGUAUGGCCAGGGCUGCUCUGGAAAGGCCUGAACCCAGUGGAUUUGCUCUGCAAGCGAAAAGUCCCAGCUUUGAUCCCUGGGGUCUCCAAAGUUGGGGAAGACUUGAGAGGGGCUUCCAGUCAUUGUAGACCAGUCUUCCCCAAACUGAUGCCCUCCAGAUGUUCCUGGGCUCCUGACUCCCAUUGUCCCUUAUCAUUGACCAUGCUGGCUGAGGUUGAUGGGAGCUGUAACUCUGAGCAAUUUUGCUUGAGGACUGAAUUCACCUGAACAAAAGUGGUACACGGAAGACCUUGUUGAUCUUUUCACCCCCUCCCAUUGCGAGAAUCUCCUGAUCUGAUGUUUUGAGAAAGGAGGGGGCUGAAACUGCUCUUCUACUCUUCCGCUCCUGACUCUGUGUGUGGAGAGAGUCUUAUCUAUGUAGUGACAAGAUGGCUGAGUGGGAGCUGUAACGCUCAUGCAAGCCAGUAGUUCUUUAGUUUGUAGUAGCUACUAGAAAUAAAAGAAGUUAUGCUUCA